rfam:Capsicum annuum cultivar Zunla-1 chromosome 12, whole genome shotgun sequence
ACUUCAUGAUUUGGGCAUUGAGAAAGGUUACCGUUAAAACUCUCCUAAGCUUCAAAUAAAGCUUCUCCAUUCAUUUUAUAAAAAUUGACAAUCUCAUCCUUCUUUU